rnacentral:rRNA from 1 species
CUAUUAUUUUUUUUUGUAAAAGUUGAGUAGUUUACCUAAGUAUUAUGAAUGUGAUUAGGAUAUAUAUAUAUAUAUAUAUAUAUAUAAUUUAUAUUUAAAACUUAAAAAGUUUGGCGGUUUUACAUAUCCAGUUAGGGGAGUUUGUUAAUUUAUUUGAUAAUCCUCAUUUUAAACUUACUUUUUUUUGAAUAUAUAAUUAAUACAGUUUAUAUAUUGCUGUCGUCAGUUUAUCUUUUGAGAAUUAAAGAACUAUUAAAUGUUUUAGGUUGUUAUGUCAAGUCAUAAUGUAGCUAAUAAAAAAGGUUUAAUGAACUACUAUAAAUAAUGUUUUAAUAUGAUCCGGAUAGUAAAGGUUAAGUUUAUUAGAAAGGUGGACUUAAUAGUAAAAUUAUAAUUAGUAUGUAUAUUUGAAUUAGGUUUUGUAAAGUGU